rnacentral:rRNA from 1 species
UACGUAGGGGGCGAGCGUUGUCCGGAAUUACUGGGCGUAAAGGGUGCGUAGGCGGAACUGUAAGUCAGGUGUGAAAGCCUGGGGCUUAACCCCAGGAUUGCACUUGAAACUGUGGAUCUUGAGUGCAGGAGAGGUAAGUGGAAUUCCUAGUGUAGCGGUGAAAUGCGUAGAUAUUAGGAGGAACAUCAGUGGCGAAGGCGACUUACUGGACUGUAACUGACGCUGAGGCACGAAAGCGUGGGGAGCAAACAGGAUUAGAUACCCUGGUAGUCCACGCCGUAAACGAUGGAUACUAGGUGUAGGGGUCGAUAGGCCUCUGUGCCGAAGCAAACGCAUUAAGUAUCCCGCCUGGGGAGUACGAUCGCAAGGUUGAA